CUGGCGGCGAUGCCUUACACAUGCAAGUCGAACGGCAGCGGACCUCGGUGCGGCGAGUGGCGAACGGUGAGUAAUAUAUCGGAACGUACCUUUCAGUGGGGAGUAACGUAGCGAAGUUACGCUAAUACCGCAUAUUCUGUGAGCAGGAAAGCAGAAGAUCGCAAGACCUUGCGCUGAUUGAGCGGCCGAUAUCAGAUUAGCUAGUUGGUGAGGUAAAGGCUCACCAAGGCGACGAUCUGUAGCGGGUCUGAGAGGAUGAUCCGCCACACUGGAACUGAGACACGGUCCAGACUCCUACGGGAGGCAGCAGUGGGGAAUUUUGGACAAUGGGCGCAAGCCUGAUCCAGCCAUGCCGCGUGAGUGAAGAAGGCCUUCGGGUUGUAAAGCUCUUUCGGCCGGGAAGAAAUCGCACAGGUUAAUACCCUGUGUGGAUGACGGUACCGGAAUAAGAAGCACCGGCUAACUACGUG
rnacentral:rRNA from 1 species